rnacentral:lncRNA from 1 species
GCGGGCCACGUUGGUUAAAUUAACGGAUGCAGGAUACAGACGGCCUGUGGAUAUAGACGGCUGACUGGAUGUACACGUUUAUUAUAUAAUUUUGUUUGUAAAUUAUAUUAUGAUUUAAUUCUAUUUACAACUUUAUAAUUUUUUGUUUUACAAGCCUAUAGAAUUAUAUAUAAUUAUUAUAGUUUAUCCUUAUCUCUGUUUCACGGAGAGGUAAAUGAUGACCAGGGAGUUACAAAGCUUCAUAAGUUUCUCGGAAUGUGUAUCGGAGAAAAAAUAACAGAGUCUGGCUAAAGAGAUGAAGAGCUCAUGAGGGCGUGUCUGCAUUUAAACAAGAGUAGCAUUGUCAAUUGUUGUCCUUACCAGCGGCCGACAAGGCGGAAUUGGAACGGUGCUGCUCCUGACUACCUCUACUCCCCGCUAGGCUUAGGGGCUGGAGUGACCCAAGCCCUCAGGGACCUGCAGCUGCUGAAGUCCUCUCAGCACCUGCAAUAUCCCAGAGGGCAAAGACAGGGCCAAAUACUGGAUUCUGGGUUCUCUUCAUUGUUGUCCCCCUGCAAGUGGAGAGGUAUCCAGGCUGGGCCUUGUCCUAAGAUAUGACGGAACUGAAUUCUUCUAGCAAGCAUGUGAGCUUGGAAGAGAACACCAUGCGCCACAUGAGAAUGCAUACUGGCCAACACCCUGUGCAAAGAUCCAGAGAAGCUGUGCUCAGACUCCUGACUCAUGAAAAUAGUGAAUUUAUAAAUGUAUAUUGCUUUAAGAUGCUAAAUUUGUGGUGAUGUGUUACAUGGCAAUAGAAAAUAGAGAUAAAACUUGACAUUUGAAGUGCAUCACAUAAUGAAAUUAGUAGAUGAGAAUCUCUCUAGAAACAAGUAAAAUUUUGAGUUAAAAUGAGAGACUGGACAUAUAAUUCCUCCUCCCUCCAAAAUCCCAAG